rnacentral:rRNA from 1 species
UACGUAGGGUGCGAGCGUUAAUCGGAAUUACUGGGCGUAAAGCGUGCGCAGGCGGUUUUGUAAGCCAGAUGUGAAAUCCCCGGGCUUAACCUGGGAAUGGCAUUUGGGACUGCAAGGCUUGAGUGCGGCAGAGGAGACUGGAAUUCCUGGUGUAGCAGUGAAAUGCGUAGAUAUCAGGGAGGAAUACCGAUGGCGAAGGCAGGUCUCUGGGCUGACACUGACGCUCAUGCACGAAAGCGUGGGGAGCAAACAGG